AUGAGGUUUGAAAUUCGAUUAAGGAGAGGUGGCAGCUUGGAUAGUUUGGAUUUUCCUGGACAAGUUCAUCAUGUGUUAACGGGAGGCUUGUGGAGUAGAGACAUGUUGCAGCAGGCUAGUACAAUGCGCGAGAUGAUGAUAUUGUCCUUGAUUCAUGUUUUUUUGUGUGCUUGGCUUUUGGAAGAUUUGUUUAUGUUUCUUCAAUGCUAUUCUAAGCAUCUGAUCCCCCACAAUCCCUUUCAUGAGCCGAACAAAAUGAUCUUUGGUUGGGAUUAUUUGUUUUGA
rnacentral:lncRNA from 1 species